GGGCCGGUAGCUCGAAGGUCGAGCAGGAGACUUUUAAUCUCUCGGUCAGGGUUCGAUUCCCUGUCGGCCCA
rnacentral:tRNA from 1 species